GAAGGUACAGCUCAGUGAUAAAGCUCCUGCUUACCAUGGAGGAGGUCCUGGGUUCAAUCCCUAGUACCGUCA
rnacentral:tRNA from 1 species